CCUGUGGAGAGGAGUGUGUGACAGAUCCGGUCCAGCAGCGUUAACACUUGCAGCUCUGUUUCCAAACAAACACCGGAUGUCAGGCUUUUCUCUCCUGUGAGCGUGAACACAUGAGGCCUGGUGUGGGAGGUUCCUCUAACAGUCUGACUGAAGACUUGGGGUGAUGAGAAGGAAUUCUUCUUCUCUGAUGAAAUCUUAGAGCUGCUGCUGCUGCUGGUGGAUGUGGAGUGGUGGCUCUUUCCCAUGGCCCGGAACCGACAGAACAAACUCUCGGGGAGAGCAAAGAAAACACGGCCACAAAAAAAAAGUCAAUGAUCCGCAGCAGUGGAUCUAAAAAAUGACGAAAAAGAGAACAAGGAAAGAAACGUUCUUUCUCUUCUCAAGCCAAACACAUAUUAUUAUUAUUAUUAUGAUGGAGGAGAGGGAGCUGGUUCCUGUGUACACAGACAGCCUCUUGACAGACAGACAGCUGCUGAUGUUG